rnacentral:tRNA from 1 species
UGAGUUGUAGCUCAGUGGUUGAGCGCUUGCCUAGGAUGUAGGAGGUGCUGGGUUCAAUCCCAGCAUCACAU